UCAAACACAUUUUUUUUUUUUAGAAUAUAUAUAAUGAGUCUGACCUGCCCGGUGAUAAGAUAAUAUUUAACGGCCGCAGUACUUUGACUGUGCGAAGGUAGCAUAAUUAUUUGCCUUAUAAUUGAAGGCUUGUAUGAAUGGUUUGACGAAAAUAAAUCUGUCUUAAUUUAAUUUUUUAAAAUUUAACUUUUAAGUGAAGAGGCUUUUAUUUUAUUGAUAGACMAGAAGACCCUGUCGAGCUUUAUUUUUUAAUUAUAAAUUUUUAUUUUUAUAUUGUUUUUAGAUUUUAGUUGGGGUGACUGAGGAACUGUAUGAGUUUCCUUAAUUAUUUAUAGAUUUAUAGAUUUUGAUCCAUGGAAAGUGAUUAGUAGAAUUAGUUACCGCAGGGAUAACAGCAUAAUCUUUUUUGAGAGUUCUUAUCGAAAAAUGGGUUUGUGACCUCGAUGUUGGAUUAAAGUGUCCUAAAGGUGCAGAAGUUUUAAGGGUUAGUC
rnacentral:rRNA from 1 species